GACGAACGCUGGCGGCGUGCUUAACACAUGCAAGUCGUACGGUAAGGCCCUUUCGGGGGUACACGAGUGGCGAACGGGUGAGUAACACGUGAGUAACCUGCCCACAACUUUGGGAUAACGCUAGGAAACUGGUGCUAAUACUGGAUAUGUGCUCCUGCUGCAUGGUGGGGGUUGGAAAGCUCCGGCGGUUGUGGAUGGACUCGCGGCCUAUCAGCUUGUUGGUGGGGUAGUGGCCUACCAAGGCGGCGACGGGUAGCCGGCCUGAGAGGGUGACCGGCCACAUUGGGACAGAGAUACGGCCCAGACUCCUACGGGAGGCAGCAGUGGGGAAUAUUGCACAAUGGGCGCAAGCCUGAUGCAGCAACGCCGCGUGCGGGAUGACGGCCUUCGGGUUGUAAACCGCUUUCAGCAGGGACGAAGCUUUUUGUGACGGUACCUGCAGAAGAAGCACCGGCUAACUACGUG
rnacentral:rRNA from 1 species